rfam:Aedes albopictus isolate Foshan contig68463, whole genome shotgun sequence.
UGCCCAGCAACUCCUAUCCCUACCUCCGCGUGGUACCGGCUGGAAACUACAAGCAACCUUAGGGAAAAUCGGGUAACCAACCCCGGUGAGAACUUUGGUCGUAGGCUGACAGGGAAGG